UGGCGGACGGGUGAGUAACGCGUGAGUAACCUGCCUCUCAGAGGGGGAUAACGUUCUGAAAAGAACGCUAAUACCGCAUAUAAUCAAGAAACCGCAUGAUUUUUUGAUGAAAGGAGCAAUCCGCUGAGAGAUGGACUCGCGUCUGAUUAGCUAGAUGGUGGGGUAACGGCCUACCAUGGCGACGAUCAGUAGCCGGACUGAGAGGUUGAACGGCCACAUUGGGACUGAGACACGGCCCAGACUCCUACGGGAGGCAGCAGUGGGGGAUAUUGCGCAAUGGGGGAAACCCUGACGCAGCAAUGCCGCGUGAAGGAAGAAGGUUUUCGGAUUGUAAACUUCUUUUGUUAAGGACGAAGAAUGACGG
rnacentral:rRNA from 1 species